rnacentral:rRNA from 1 species
UACGUAGGGCGCAAGCGUUGUCCGGAAUUAUUGGGCGUAAAGAGCUCGUAGGCGGCUUGUCACGUCGAUUGUGAAAGCCCGAGGCUUAACCUCGGGUCUGCAGUCGAUACGGGCUAGCUAGAGUGUGGUAGGGGAGAUCGGAAUUCCUGGUGUAGCGGUGAAAUGCGCAGAUAUCAGGAGGAACACCCGUAGCGAAGGCGGCACUCUGGGCCGUGACUGGCGCUGAGGAGCGAAAGCGUGGGGAGCAAACAGG